GUGGAUUAGUGGCGACGGGUGAGUAACACGUGGGCAAUCUGCCCUGCACACUGGGACAAGCCCUGGAAACGGGGUCUAAUACCGGAUACGACGCACGGCCGCAUGGUCUGUGCGUGGAAAGCUCCGGCGGUGCAGGAUGAGCCCGCGGCCUAUCAGCUUGUUGGUGGGGUGAUGGCCUACCAAGGCGACGACGGGUAGCCGGCCUGAGAGGGCGACCGGCCACACUGGGACUGAGACACGGCCCAGACUCCUACGGGAGGCAGCAGUGGGGAAUAUUGCACAAUGGGCGAAAGCCUGAUGCAGCGACGCCGCGUGAGGGAUGACGGCCUUCGGGUUGUAAACCUCUUUCAGCAGGGAAGAAGCGCAAGUGACGGUACCUGCAGAAGAAGCACCGGCUAACUACGUGCCAGCAGCCGCGGUAAUACGUAGGGUGCGAGCGUUGUCCGGAAUUAUUGGGCGUAAAGAGCUCGUAGGCGGCCUGUCGCGUCGGAUGUGAAAGCCCGGGGCUUAACCCCGGGUCUGCAUUCGAUACGGGCAGGCUAGAGUUCGGUAGGGGAGAUCGGAAUUCCUGGUGUAGCGGUGAAAUGCGCAGAUAUCAGGAGGAACACCGGUGGCGAAGGCGGAUCUCUGGGCCGAUACUGACGCUGAGGAGCGAAAGCAUGGGGAGCGAACAGGAUUAGAUACCCUGGUAGUCCAUGCCGUAAACGUUGGGCACUAUGUGUGGGCGACAUUCCACGUCGUCCGUGCCGCAGCUAACGCAUUAAGUGCCCCGCCUGGGGGAGUACGGCGCAGCUAAACUCAAGGAGUGACGGGGGCCGCACAGCGGCGGAGCAUGGUGGCUUAUUCGACG
rnacentral:rRNA from 1 species